CCUGGCUUGGCUUACAUUGCCUUAUAUUUGCUUAAGAUGAAAGGUUAAAGAGAAGGUGCACUCACAGAGAAUUCAGAGGAGGUAAAGGGGUUUCCAAAUAGCCCUUUCUUCAAUGAAAAGCCUGUACCACUGAUCCUUAGACAACCUUUUCAGUAUAGACUGACUGUGAGAGCAAGGUAGCGGGGACAUUAGAGAUCAUUCAGAGUA